UUCCUAAUGAUUACUAGAGCUGCCGCAGUCCAUACAUCUGCCACAGUGGCUUAUUCUUCGCAGAACUUCUGGUGUGGUGUGUGUGUUGGUUUGCAUGAGAUCGGAGUUUUCUUAUGUUCAUGUUGUGAUGCUUGUUGUAAGAGAUCCUUCCUGAACCAGAUUUUUGGACUACAUGUCUCAUCAUCCCCACCGUACAAAGUUGUGAAGGACCAUUGGAGCUGAAGUUCAAAAGUAUGUUGGGCAAUCCUAUUUACCAUCAAUUUACCAGAAAAGGGAAUUGAAUGUGAGAGGAAUCUGCCUGUUCAAACCCACAGCUUUAAUUGCUUAACUCCCGAAGGCCUGGGUUUGGAUCCCUACCUCCUCAGCCAGGGUUAGUGCUAAAAUCAAGGUUGCCACCUCUUCUGUAAUGAGAAGCAACUGAUCUUUAGGCCCAUAUGGCAAGCAAGAACAACUCGCUCCACCCCAUGUUGUAGGAAGUUGAACCUACUGAGGGCACCCGGUGGAGAGGGGCGAAAAUUUCGUUCGGAGGGAAUGAACCAGAAUCGCACCAUCAUGCUUUGAGACUGCAGCACAAUGCCUUUUUCUCUCUCUCUCUCUUUCAAAAUGGACCUCAGGGGAAGCGUAACGAACAGAUUCUCUGUCCCUGGAGCUGAUGGCAAGAUAAGCAAUGGCCGACAUAAGCGCCUCCUGUCGCCGCCACCCUCCCUUCACGAGUCCUUUGUCGCUGGUUUGACACCGGAGGGGAAUCUUUCUGGAAAGUGGACCACAACCAACGACAGUCACACAACGCCUCCCGAUAAUAUCCUGACACUCACCCGGUCGCUCAGCCCUGGAUUUCCGAAUACUGUAUAUAAGUCAGAGGCUGCAAAGAGAAAAGGACUAAUGGGAGCGGACAGAGAGCAAGCGGGUGCUGUUGUCGCUCUCGCCUUUCCUGAAGUAGGUGUCUCUGGAGGACACACCAUAACAAUACAUUUGUUGAGACCGACUCCAGCCAACCCUUUGCUCGAGGACUACCCGUUUCAUCAGACGCCAAACGGAGGCAGAUGA
rnacentral:lncRNA from 1 species